rnacentral:precursor_RNA from 14 species
UCCUUGAGCUUGGCGUUGUUCCAGGUGUUGGCAGGGUAUGUUUUGCUGUAAAUGAGAGUUACACUAUUUCGGCAAAAUGUACUCUUGCAAACAACUGGGAUCUCGAGCAUCAAUCCAAUC